AGCCCCUUUGAAGCAUUUCCUUUGCUCACUCCAAGUGAUUCUGUCUCUCCACACACACUUAUUUACAACUGCUCUUUUCCAGUCCCUCUGUGCUAGUUACUCCCUCUGCUUUUCCCUGUCAUAUUAAUAAGAUGUUUUCCCGGUGGACUCGGUUGCGGAAGUCCCCCAAACCCACUCAAGGGAGUCGACAUGACCUGGUGAAGGUCUGCGAUGAGCUCACUCCAGAUGAAUAUCAUGCACUAUCUUAAGAUACUAUUCAAGUAGCUCAGUUCCUGGUUACAGGCAAGAAAUAUGCUGAUGCCACAACCCUUCAAAUUAAUCGCGUCCAGCGCUUCUUGAUAUCUGUCAGUCUCUGUACAUACUGAACCUAUUCUCUAAUCGACUUACAUGUAUGAAGGUACUGUACAUUUAUUGGUGCCGAGCCCCAUAUUCACCUGGCUACAGGGUCCGCACCAAGCUCAGGGUCCGCACCAAGCUCCCGCUGCAUUUUCCCAUUGGAGAGUAAUAAGAUUAAGAGCCAGCUGCCCAUCUUGAGUUUCGCUUUUCAAUGUUCGCUUUAAGGGACCAUUUUUAUAAGCUCAAACUCAACGAAAGGGUGGCGAGUUGAGCGUUGUUGCCCAGUGGGGUUACUUGACCAGUCAUAAACCAACUUUACAUUGCUAUGCUCAAAUCCGUUGUCGACUUGAUCGGCUCGAAGUGAACACAUGCAUUCGAAGUAUGGGUGGGGCUAAGGAUACUGACGCUUGCGAGACGGGUUGGAGGUCACUGAACAAGGCACAUAGUGGUCAUCAUAGAUUUUUA
rnacentral:sRNA from 1 species